UACGGAGGGUGCGAGCGUUAAUCGGAAUUACUGGGCGUAAAGGGUGCGUAGGUGGUUUAUUGAGUUAUCUGUAAAAUCCCUGGGCUUAACCUGGGCAGGUCAGAUAAAACUGGUAGACUCGAGUAUGGGAGAGGGUAGUGGAAUUUCCGGUGUAGCGGUGAAAUGCGUAGAGAUCGGAAGGAACACCAGUGGCGAAGGCGGCUACCUGGCCUAAUACUGACACUGAGGCACGAAAGCGUGGGGAGCAAACAGGAUUAGAUACCCUGGUAGUCCACGCUGUAAACGAUGUCAACUAGCUGUUGGUCAUAUGAAUGUGAUUAGUGGCGAAGCUAACGCGAUAAGUUGACCGCCUGGGGAGUACGAUCGCAAGAUUA
rnacentral:rRNA from 1 species